rnacentral:rRNA from 1 species
UACGAGUGGCCUCAAGCGUUAUCCGGAAUGCAUUGGGCGUAAGGGUUGUGUAGGUUGGUUGUAUUAGUCUCUUGUUAAAUUCUUCGGCUUAACCGGGGGCAUGCAAGGGAAACGGUACGACUCGAGGAUGCGAGGGGUCUGCGGAACUCAUAGUGUAGCGGUAAAAUGCGUUGAUAUUAUGGGGAACACCAAAAGCGAAGGCAGCAGACUGGAGCACUCCUGACACUGAAACAAGAAAGCGUGGGU